rnacentral:misc_RNA from 1 species
AAGUCGUAACAAGGUCUCCGUUGGUGAACCAGCGGAGGGAUCAUUACCGAGUUUACAACUCCCAAACCCAAUGUGAACGUUACCAAUCUGUUGCCUCGGCGGGAUUCUCUGCCCCGGGCGCGUCGCAGCCCCGGAUCCCAUGGCGCCCGCCGGAGGACCAACUCAAACUCUUUUUUCUCUCCGUCGCGGCCUACGUCGCGGCUCUGUUUUAUUUUUGCUCUGAGCCUUUCUCGGCGACCCUAGCGGGCGUCUCGAAAAUGAAUCAAAACUUUCAACAACGGAUCUCUUGGUUCUG